CGACUCUCGACAACGGAUAUCUAGGCUCUCGCAUCGAUGAAGAACGUAGCAAAAUGCGAUACUUGGUGUGAAUUGCAGAAUCCCGUGAAUCAUCGAGUUUUUGAACGCAAGUUGCGCCCAAAGUCAUUAGGCCGAGGGCACGUCUGCCUGGGUGUCACG
rnacentral:rRNA from 48 species